AUUGAACGCUGGCGGCAGGCCUAACACAUGCAAGUCGAGCGGAUGAGGGUAGCUUGCUACCUGAUUCAGCGGCGGACGGGUGAGUAAUGCCUAGGAAUCUGCCUAUUAGUGGGGGACAACGUUUCGAAAGGAACGCUAAUACCGCAUACGUCCUACGGGAGAAAGCAGAGGACCUUCGGGCCUUGCGCUAAUAGAUGAGCCUAAGUCGGAUUAGCUAGUUGGUGGGGUAAAGGCCUACCAAGGAGACGAUCUGUAGCAGGUCUGAGAGGAUGAUCCGCCACACUGGGACUGAGACACGGCCCAGACUCCUACGGGAGGCAGCAGUGGGGAAUAUUGGACAAUGGGGGGAACCCUGAUCCAGCCAUGCCGCGUGUGUGAAGAAGGCCUUUUGGUUGUAAAGCACUUUAAGCGAGGAGGAGGCUACCGAGAUUAAUACUCUUGGAUAGUGGACGUUACUCGCAGAAUAAGCACCGGCUAACUCUGUGCCAGCAGCCGCAGUAACAC
rnacentral:rRNA from 1 species